GUGGUAGAAAACUCGGGAUCCCGUCUGCUCUCCCAUAGAUAAGCUACCAACCGGCAGAUUAGUAGUUGGGUCGGUGACGACCA
rnacentral:rRNA from 1 species